AUGAGAACCCCGCAAUCUGUUCCUUGGUUGCCUGGCAACUCUCGGCUCUGUUUUCUCUCCAUUUGCAGCACCUCUUCAGCUGGUCUCCUGCGUCUAACAUCCGCCCAGUCUUGGCUUAGAGCCUGCUGGGGUUGUGGACAAGGUGGAAGCCAGAGACAGGUGCUUUCAAAUCCCAGACACAUCACAAAGCAGUUAAAUGGGUGUGGACGCAUGAUUCGGCUUCCCCCAACACCAGCCUCUCCCUGUGAAACCCACACUGUGAACACCCAGUCUCCAGGCAGGUUUUCGCACUGUUGCGAUUCAAUGAGCUCAUAUCUGUGCAGAAGCCGACACACGGGCGGCCGUCUGUUCUGUCUCCAGCAAAGCCUGGAAGUCUCAGGCCAGCAUCAGGCGGCCGAGGACUGCUCACUGCGGAGGAGACGUUUGCAGGAGUGCAGCAUCCACCCCGCCCCGCGCUCUCGCCCCGUCUUCCGCGCCCUGUCACCCGCAAUGGAAAAGGCAGGAUCCGCUACUGUUUUCCUCCAGGUCUUCCAAGAAUCCCUCCAAGUCUUUGGACGAUCGCGUCUCCCUUCCCCGCAUAGCUCUCAUUUUUCGGAUGAAAAACCUGACGACCUCAUUCUCUUGCUCAGAAUUCUUCUAGAAGAUGCCAUGUUCUGUGUUAUGAAGUUCAAAGGCAUCGCAACCUUUCAGGCUGUAACCCUGAACCUUUUCUCCAGGCUCCCGUCUUGGCGUUAGUCCUGCAAAUCAUCGCACUGUCAGUCCCAGGCCACACCUAACUGCAGUCAUGUGAAAGACCCAGAGAGUAACACACAGCUGUGACCCAUCAGCCCACAAAACAACGGGAGGCAAUAAAAUACGGUUCUUUUUAAGACA
rnacentral:lncRNA from 1 species